GCGAAGUCCUUCACAGUUUGCAUUGACAACGUUCCUCUCAUGCAAGCAUGCAGUCCUAGAGAGGCGUUCAAGAUAUUAUUCCUGGCACACUUUGCGUCAACGUUGCCUGCCCAAAAGAGGCAAGUCUUACCCUGGAGUUCACUCAUGGGUCAAUUGCCACUGUCAGUCCCGGAAAGGGCAUAAGGACUGAGCAUACACGUGGGAAACAGCACAACAUGAACGCGAAAGUGGCGUCAUUGAUUAGCUCCCUCAAGGACUUGACUUUUAAACAUCUGUGCCUGCCAACUCGAACAAUAUCCCCGGGAGAUUCCUUAAUCUGGACCCCUUGUGAUA
rnacentral:lncRNA from 1 species